GACGAACGCUGGCGGCGUGCCUAAUACAUGCAAGUCGAGCGAAGUUUUUCUGGUGCUUGCACUAGAAAAACUUAGCGGCGAACGGGUGAGUAACACGUAAAGAACCUGCCUCAUAGACGGGGACAACUAUUGGAAACGAUAGCUAAUACCGGAUAACAGCAUAAAUCGCAUGAUAUAUGUUUAAAAGUUGGUUUCGGCUAACACUAUGAGAUGGCUUUGCGGUGCAUUAGCUAGUUGGUGGGGUAAAGGCCUACCAAGGCGACGAUGCAUAGCCGACCUGAGAGGGUGAUCGGCCACACUGGGACUGAGACACGGCCCAGACUCCUACGGGAGGCAGCAGUAGGGAAUCUUCCGCAAUGGGCGAAAGCCUGACGGAGCAACGCCGCGUGAGUGAGGAAGGAUUUCGGUUCGUAAAGCUCUGUUGUUAGGGAAGAAUGAUUGUAUAGUAACUAUAUACAGUAGAGACGGUACCUAACCAGAAAGCCACGGCUAACUACGUGCCAGCAGCCGCGGUAAUACGUAGGUGGCAAGCGUUGUCCGGAAUUAUUGGGCGUAAAGCGCGCGCAGGUGGUUUAAUAAGUCUGAUGUGAAAGCCCACGGCUCAACCGUGGAGGGUCAUUGGAAACUGUUAAACUUGAGUGCAGGAGAGAAAAGUGGAAUUCCUAGUGUAGCGGUGAAAUGCGUAGAGAUUAGGAGGAACACCAGUGGCGAAGGCGGCUUUUUGGCCUGUAACUGACACUGAGGCGCGAAAGCGUGGGGAGCAAACAGG
rnacentral:rRNA from 1 species